AGAAAGAGAAGUCAGAUAUGAGAUCCAAACUUUUAAUUGGGAUUGUGAUCAAGAGAUGAGAAUAAUAAUAUUAUAUUAUUGUUAUAAUGAAUUUACAGUACAAUAAUUAUGUACUGUGUAUGUGCGGAUAGGUAAUAUUGAGCAAUGACGGUCAAUUAGGUCAUAGCAUAUUACCGUGCUGUGAAACCCUAAUUAUUAAACUCAGUUAUGAGAAAUGACUGAGUAGUAUAUGAAGUUUACUGUGUAUAUGAAGUUACUGUGUACACGAAUGUCGGUAAUUAGAAGAAAAACCCUAAUUACUAUUUUUACGCUGAUAACUAGGACAAACCCUAAUUAUUAC
rnacentral:lncRNA from 1 species